rnacentral:lncRNA from 1 species
GUAGGAGCUCAGAUGAAAUUCGAAAGGCGAUCAACCAUCGUAGAAACUUGGACGGAGUCUGGUUACUGUAGAAGUCCUACUGCUGGAGAAGCUCGAUCAUUGAUGAAGUCUGGAAGAAGUUCAGAGUAAAGUCGAUCGUGGCUGGAAGAAGUCUGGAAGAGAUUUAGAAAGUAGUCGAUCACUGUAGAAAAUCGACUGGUAGUGAAGCUCGGAGAGCAUUUGGAACAGUCUGGUAGAUGAAUGGAGGAGCUCAUUAUUGGUGAAGUCCGGAUGGUAUUGUGGAAGCUCGG